rnacentral:rRNA from 1 species
CCUACGGGUGGCAGCAGUGAGGAAUAUUGGUCAAUGGGCGCGAGCCUGAACCAGCCAAGUCGCGUGAGGGAAGACGGUCCUAUGGAUUGUAAACCUCUUUUGUCGGGGAGCAAAAGACACCACGCGUGGCGUUCCGAGAGUACCCUAAGAAAAAGCAUCGGCUAACUCCGUGCCAGCAGCCGCGGUAAUACGGAGGAUGCGAGCGUUAUCCGGAUUUAUUGGGUUUAAAGGGUGCGCAGGCGGAAGAUCAAGUCAGCGGUAAAAUUGAGAGGCUCAACCUCUUCGAGCCGUUGAAACUGGGGUUCUUGAGUGAGUGAGAAGUAGGCGGAAUGCGUGGUGUAGCGGUGAAAUGCAUAGAUAUCACGCAGAACUCCGAUUGCGAAGGCAGCAUACCGGAGCGCAACUGACGCUCAUGCACGAAAGUGUGGGUAUCGAACAGGAUUAGAUACCCUUGUAGUC